CCUACGGGAGGCAGCAGUGGGGAAUAUUGCACAAUGGGGGAAACCCUGAUGCAGCAACGCCGCGUGAGUGAAGAAGUAUUUCGGUAUGUUAAGCUCCAUCAGCCGGGAAGAAAAUGCCGGUACCUGACUCAGAAGCCCCGGCUAACUACGAGCCAGCAGCCGCGGUAAUACGUAGGGGGCAAGCGUUUUCCGGAUUUACUGGGUGUUAAGGGGGCGUAGGUGGCAUGGUGAGACAGGAGGGAAAACCCAGGGCUCAAAUCCGUGGAUUGCCUUUGAAACUAGCAAGCUUGAGUGCUGGAGGGGUAAGCGGAAUUCGUAGUGUAGCGGUGAAAUGCGUAGAUAUUAGGAGGAACACCGGUGGCGAAGGCGGCUUACUGGACAGAAACUGACGCUGAGGCUCGAAAGCGUGGGGAGCAAACAGGAUUAGAUACCCGGGUAGUC
rnacentral:rRNA from 1 species